rnacentral:rRNA from 1 species
CGGUAAUUCCAGCUCCAAUAGCGUAUACUAAAGUUGUUGCAGCUAAAAAGCUCGUAGUUGGAUUUCUGCGGGGACGGAGCGGCCGGACGCAACUUGCGUCUCGAGCUAGCGCUUUCCCCGCAUCCUGCCGCGAACCGUGCUACCAUUAGCUUGGUGGCGCUGGGGAUCGGCUCGAUUACUUUGAGAAAAAUAGAGUGUUCAAAGCAGGCCACACGCCUUGAAUAAGUUAGCAUGGAAUAAUGACUAAGGACUUCGGUUCUAUUUUGUUGGUGUUCGGGACUGAAGUAAUGAUUGAUAGGGACAGUUGGGGCGGUCUGUAUUCCAAAGCGAGAGGUGAAAUUCUUAGACCUUCGGAAGACAAACAGCUGCGAAAGCGUUCCGCAAGGAUGUUCCCUUUGAUCAAGAACGAAAGUUGGGGGAUCGAAGACGAUCAGAUACCGUCGUAGUCUCAACUAUAAACUAUACCAGCUAGGGAUCGGUCAACGUUUAAUCAUUCGACUUGAUCGGCACCUUAUGAGAAAUCAAAGCAUCUGGGUUCCGGGGGGAGUAUGGUCGCAAGGCUGAAACUUAAAGGAAUUGACGGAAGGGCACCACCAGCCGUGGAGCCUGUGGCUUAAUUUGACUCAACACGGGAAAACUUACCAGGUCCAGACAUAGUAAGGAUUGACAGAUUGAUAGCUCUUUCUUGAUUCUGUGGGUGGUGGUGCAUGGCCGUUCUUAGUUGGUGGAGUGAUUUGUCUGGUUAAUUCCGUUAACGAACGAGACCCCAGCCUGCUAAAUAGCGCGGCUGAGCUUUGCUCGGUGCGAGCUUCUUAGAGGGACUAUGAUGCGCGAUAGCACAUGGAAGUUUGGGGCAAUAACAGGUCUGUGAUGCCCUUAGAUGUUCUGGUCCGCACACGGGCUACACUGGCGCCUGCAACGAGCAUAUCAGCUGGCCCGAGAGGGUCUUGGCUAAUCUUUUGAACCGGCGCCGUGCUUGGGAUUGACCAUUGCAAUUGUUGGUCAUGCAACGAGGAAUGCCUUGUAAACGCGAGUCAUCAGCUCGCAUUGAAUACGUCCCUGCCCUUUGUACGCACCGCCCGUCGCUCCUACCGAUGAAUGUUCCGAUGAAAUUUUCGGAGAGCGCCAGAGAACGGGGCUCUGCCUUGCAGAUCUGGAGGCUCAAAGUCACUUAAAUCUGAACAUUUCGAGGAAGGAGAAGUCGUAACAAGGUAACC